rnacentral:lncRNA from 1 species
GUGAAACUAAUUUAUCCAAACCCAACCCACCAUCUCUUGCCAAAUACCGAGCUUUGAGAUGCAAAAUCGAGCAUGUUGAAGAGAACACUGAAGAAUUUUCCAGGGUUAGGAAAGAAGUGUUGCAGAGCAGUCGAAGUGAAGGCCCCAUCGAUGUCUUGCAGAUAUUUAAAGUUGGCCGAGUGAAUGAAGCUAUGGAGUUUGUGAGUAACCUGGGCAACGUGCAAGCCCUGUUCCAUGGAUCUCCUGUGCGGAACAUUCUCGGAAUCUUGUCCCGAGGGCUGCUCUUACCUAAGGUAGCGGAAGACCGCGGUGUGCAAAGAACAGACGUUGGAAAUCUGGGGAGCGGGAUCUACUUCAGCAACUCACUCAG